GGGACCCCUGAGUUAGAAACUCCUUCUACACGUUAGUUUCUUCUUCUGGGAUCUAACAUUCCUGCCUUUUGGUUUUAAUAAAAAUUGGCACAGGUCUGGCUGCAUUAGAGUUAAGGCUUUAACUUAGCUUAAGGCAACUUUUUGCAGGGGCGGGGGCGUCAUUUCUCUCUUUGACUGCUUCUGGCUGGGUGGGGUCAUAGCUGGGGGUAGUUGCCUUGAACUAAGCUUUAACAUUAUUAAAUUGAUGUCUGGAUAUCUUCUGCUGGAACUGGCUGGUAGCGAGGCCCUUCUUGCAGCAGGAGCAGACCUUCAAAUCUUUGUUGUAGCAGGAGCAUGUUUUUGGAAUUUUGCUGCAGCCAUGAAGCUAAGAGAGCACUGAUGUGAAGAUGGAGUUAUGCUGCCAUAAGCCAAGGUAUAACUGGACCACCAGGAUUUGAAAGAAGAAGGGAAGCAUGAAUUCCUAGAACCUUCAGAAUGGUCCUGCAAACCCUUUGAUUUUAGACUUCUAGUCUCCAGAAAUGAGACAGACCUUCUUCUCCCAGGUGCUUAAAGGAGAUAGUGAACACACAUCAGAAGAGCAGAAAGGAUCUGAAAUUAAUUAGCAAUUGAUCAUGACAGCAUGUCAGCCUAUACGAUUUAUACAACACCUGCCCUGAUUAUUUUUGAAUCCAUGAAGGAGAACAAGCAUAGCAAGCUGGCAUUUGACAAACAAGGAACCUAAUUAAAAGGCUAUUAGGUAUAGCAAAUGGAACAGAAGCAAAUCAGGAAAAAUAGUAUUUGCUAAAGUUGACAGAUUAUUAAAACAAAGCAAAAAUGCUGGUGCAUAAAAUAACUUUAUCUUUCCGAUAUACAUCCUAGGCAUAGCUUUUGGCGGAGCAAAUUUGCCUAUUCCUUUUAGUUGCUAGUACAUACAAAGACCAGAUCGUGUCUCUGCCUCCAAUAAAUGUAUAGUGUAUUGGGGAGGCAUGAUGGACUAUUGAGGAAUUAAUGUAAAGAAAGAAGUUAUAUAAAUA